rnacentral:lncRNA from 1 species
AUGAGGUGGGUGAAUGAGGUGAGUGAGCGAGGUGAGUGAGUGAAUGGGGUGAGUCACUGAGGUGAGUGAGGUGAGUGAGUGAGGUGAGUGAGGUGAGUGAAGUGGGUGAAUGAGGUGGGUGAAUGAGGUGAGUGAGCGAGGUGAGUGAAUGAGGUAGGUGAGUGAAUGAGAUGAGUGAGGUGAGUGAAUGAGAUGAGUGAGGUGAGUGAGGUGAGUGAGGUGAGUGAGUGGNNNNNNNNNNUGAGAUGAGUGAGGUGAGUGAAUGAGAUGAGUUGCUGAGAAUGGUUAUUUUUGAGUGGUGGACUGGAAGGCAGGGAAGCUGUGAUAGUUAAUUUUAGGUCUUAACUGGAUUAAGGAAUACCUAGAGAGCUGGUAAA